rnacentral:rRNA from 1 species
UAGCGAAGGGGGCUAGCGUUGCUCGGAAUCAGCUAGGGCGUAAAGGUGCGUAGGCGGAUUGACUAAGGUACAGGGGUGAAAUCCUGGAGCUCAACUCCAGAACUGCCUUUGAUACUGGCGACCUUGAGUCCGGGAGAGGUGAGUGGAACUGCGAGUGUAGAGGUGAAAUUCGUAGAUAUUCGCAAGAACACCAGUGGCGAAGGCGGCUCACUGGCCCGAUACUGACGCUGAGGCACGAAAGCGUGGGGAGCAAACAGG